UAUAUAUAUGAGAAUCGAAAAAGGGGAUGAGAACACAAAUUCCCCCGUCCCGCCGAUGAUCCCGCCGAUCGCCCCUCCUUCGUCGAUUUCGCUUUCCAUCCCGGAAGAACCGUGAGAACACAGAUCCUUACGAGAACCCAAAACACAGAGCAAUCCAAAAUUUCUGAAACCCUAAUUGUUGAAACGCCAAAACAGAGAGCUGUCCAAAAUCCCAAAACCCAGCGCCGUCCGUCCUCCAUUCGUGCAAAAUUCGGCGAAGAACAACGCAUGCAUUUCUCCCGUUCAAUCGGGAUGGGGUUUUUACCAAAACUCCCCCAAAUGGCAAAAAGCGAUCCAGUCCUUCGUAGCUGAAGGAACCGGCGGAGAAGAAUUGGACCAAAACCGACAUGGCUAGAUUUCGAAGGACUAGAAAUGAAAAAAAAUGGGGUAUCCUUGCUGGAUACAAAGAUGGAGAGAAGUGCGCGAAAAGUCACUCAAAAUCUAGUAUGACAUCUGGGAGUGGAGUUGUUUACACUUUAUGUUCGAGAAAUAGGUCCACAUAUUUUGAACUUUGGGUUUUUAUCAGAAAAACCAGGUCGAAAGUUAUUGGAAGAGCGUCAGAGAUGGAUUGCUAACCACACAGGAUUGCCAACUCAUCGUGCAAGUCCAAGACUGUCCCCAACAGGGCGAUAGUAGCCUUGACUGCGGUGUUAUAUCAUUCGGCAAUAGUAUUGAAACAAACCCAUUCUGAAGAUGCUAUGGAGAGUAGACUGCCAAAAAUGCGGUCCGAAAUAGUUAAAGCAUUCAUUAGCGGUGAAAACAAUCCGUGGAACGAAGCACAGCCUGAAGAAGCUGAGCAUUGUGAGCCAUCUACAGGAAAAUAACUCCUCGAACCGAAUGUUGCUGGUGUAGAAAUGUCCCCACAGGAUGAUGCUACCAGUCUUCAGCCCAUGCCUUUAAGGAAAAGUUUGGGAUAGUACUACAUAUGUUUCUAGUUUUUGGAACUAAGUAGACAUAUUUCUUGAUAAUAUAUGUUUUGUCAUUUGCGGUACUGACUAGCCAAGUAUAAUCAGUUGUUUGGUGGAUAAUUCCUUAUUUUGCAUGUAUCAAGUUGGUGUUUCAAUUUACUUUCGGAUGGAUAAUUUGCAACUGGUAUAACAUGAUUCCAAAAUCAUGUGUUCAUGAUUUUAUGUAAUUCAUAUGUCAUGUUCCAAUUAAAUAGGUCUUGUUCUACAUAAAAUUAUGAUUUCAUGUCUUACGGAAA